ensembl:lncRNA
CGUGGCUGCCAGAAAACAACAUUUCAUUUGAUUUUAAUUAGUUGUAUUCACGGCCCUCAAUCCCAUAAAAUAAGCGUAACUACCACCACCUUGUGUACAAACAUCUCCCUGCAGAGCGCGUGAGGAUCAGCCGGGAUAGAAACAUGACACCUAACAGCGUUAGCAGACCGCCGAGGAGCUGCUGGCCAAAUUGCAUAUGGGUCAUUUUCAACUCUCA